ACGGAAGGCAGCAGUGAGGAAUAUUGGUCAAUGGGCGGAAGCCUGAACCAGCCAUGCCGCGUGAAGGAAUAAGGCCCUAUGGGUCGUAAACUUCUUUUGAGCGGGAGCAAUAAGGCGUACGUGUACGCCGAUGAGAGUACCGUUCGAAUAAGCAUCGGCUAACUCCGUGCCAGCAGCCGCGGUAAUACGGAGGAUGCAAGCGUUAUCCGGAUUUAUUGGGUUUAAAGGGUGCGUAGGCGGACUGACAAGUCAGGGGUGAAAGCCCGGUGCUCAACACCGGAACUGCCCUUGAUACUGCCAGCCUCGAAUUCGGAUGCCGUGGGAGGAAUGAGUAGUGUAGCGGUGAAAUGCAUAGAUAUUACUCAGAACACCGAUUGCGAAGGCAUCUCACGAAUCCGACAUUGACGCUGAGGCACGAAAGCGUGGGGAUCAAACAGGAUUAGAUACCCUGGUA
rnacentral:rRNA from 1 species